rnacentral:rRNA from 1 species
CUACGGGGAUGCUCCAGUGGGGAAUAUUGCACAAUGGAGGAAACUCUGAUGCAGCAACGCCGCGUGGAGGAUGACGCAUUUCGGUGUGUAAACUCCUUUUAUAUGUCAAGAAAAUGACGGUAGCAUAUGAAUAAGCACCGGCUAACUCCGUGCCAGCAGCCGCGGUAAUACGGAGGGUGCAAGCGUUACUCGGAAUCACUGGGCGUAAAGGACGCGUAGGCGGGAUAUCAAGUCAGGUGUGAAAUCCUACAGCUUAACUGUAGAACUGCAUUUGAAACUGGUAACCUAGAGUAUGGGAGGGGGAGAUGGAAUUAGUGGUGUAGGGGUAAAAUCCGUAGAUAUCACUAGGAAUACCUAAAGCGAAGGCGAUCUCCUGGAACAUAACUGACGCUAAGGCGUGAAAGCGUGGGGAGCAAACAGGAUUAGAUACCCCAGUAGUC